GAUGAAGAACGCAGCGAAAUGCGAUAAGUAGUGUGAAUUGCAGACUUUAGUGAAUCAUCGAAUCUUUGAACGCACAUUGCGCCCCUUGGUAUUCCAUUGGGCAUGCCUGUUCGAGCGUCAUUUACAACCUCAAGCUCCGCUUGGUGUUGGGUGUCUGUCUGCGCUUCUUGCGAAGACUCGCCCUAAAUCUAUUGGCAGCGGCAUCGCCGGCUUCUCGCGCAGUACAAUGCGUUAUGGAAGGCUACCGGCGGGCUUGCGUCCAUCAAGUAACCCCCCAAGUUUGACCUCGAAUCAGGUAGGGAUACCCGCUGAACUUAAGCAUAUCAAUAACGGAGGA
rnacentral:misc_RNA from 1 species